rnacentral:piRNA from 1 species
UGAGGACAGAUAUUAGGUAUUACUAAG